UUAAAUUUUGUAAAUGUAUUUGUGCCUUCCCAAAAAUGUCAAGAAAAGCAAAAUUCUAUUUGUCGCCAAGUGAAAUUCCAUAAAUCAAAAAACGAGACGAGCCAAAAACGAAGUCCGAGAAUGAGGGGCAGAGACAGGGCUGAAGCACAGUAGAGACGACAGGGACAUCAUUUUGCAUUAAACAAACAACAAUUCAUCAUUUUUAAAUACGUAUACACAUGCAUAUAUACGUAUUCUAUGCACAGAGCCAAGCCUACGCACAAAAUUGCAGCUGCGCAGAGAAGGAACAUGCAAAUUGGCAAAGCAAGCAAACAAAUCUGCUGCAAAGUUAGCCACUGCUAAAACAAGAGGCAGCCUUUUCCAACAGAGUACAGAAUUGCCCCAGAUACAAACAUGUCUACCAAACGAUUAUUAAGUCAUCAUUUAUCACAUCCUCCCUCGUCAUUGUGUCACAUUCUCCGCUAGAACGCCUGGCGACAGUCUGAUGAACAGGAGUCGCAGGCUCUGGUGUAACCUUGCCAUUUAAUAAAAUUCGGAAUAGAAAAACCAAAGUUACAGGUUACACAUAAAUACAUGUUUGCAAGGAAAGGAAAAAAAGGACAGCCAUAAGAAUACGCAAAUAGGCAAAGGCUCUGAAGCUGAUGUGUAUGCACGUCGAAAGCUUAAGAGCUAACCCUUCCAUAAUUCUUAAUAUUCCUUUAUUGAAAUAUGCAAGUUUGAUUUGCCUGACCGGAAAAAACUUUUUCUAUGUAUGUGAAUAUCGGUUUUGCACACUAGUGGAUGCUCGUUGAGCACUUCUCACUGCGAAACAAAGGGCAAACUAACGAGAAGACUACAAUCAGUUAAAGAAACUGCGCGGUUGCCGCUUAAAACUCGGGAAUAUCCUAUGGGACCCCUCAGUGACAGUAGAAAACCGCAAAUGAAACUUUCACUGGGCUUCGUCUGACAUUAAACUUUAAGUAAAAUGUUUUUGCACCUGGGCGGAGCGUAUGUCGAAGUUUUCAUAAAAGGAUAGCUUAGCGCUUGUCAAAAGUUGUCCAGAGAGAGCGAAUCAGUUGGGACGGACAACCGCCGGACAGCUGAAAGGUUUGAGCAGCACAGCAGCAGGAAUUUUUCCAACACUGCUCAUGUCAGGUUUUCAAAACUUAAAUCAUUUUUAGCUUAGCUUCCAGCUUAAAUGCAUUUCUCAGACGUUUUCACCUGAAAAGGUUUCAGGCAUCUAAGCGAAUCGAGGACAAGCCCCUACACUCUGUGUUCUAAUGUCAACAUGUCAGUUGAGUGCGAGAACAAUUUGUCAGCCAGUUGUGAAUGACAGCCAAGCCGACGCUGGUAUGAAAACGAAACACACACAAACACGUUAUUUGACUAUGUAAGAGAAACUGCCCAGGGCACCUGUCAAAACUCAACUGUUCAAUAUGUUGUGAGGUAAUCGAAGCGUUCAAAUUAGUAUUCAAUUAUCCUUAAAUGAGUUUAACAAUAUUAUGCUGAGAACCGUUGCUGUCAAAAGAGCGUUCAAGCAGCCGGUGCCCUCAGAAAAAAUAAAAAAAAUUAUAUCAUGCAAUAUUUUGUGCCCACCUGCACAUACAAUUUGGAACAGCGUGCUUUGAGUGCGCUUAAUGAACCAUAAUUUAAUUCAUCUGAACCUUAAGAUCUUAAAUUCUUAUUAGUAGUGAAGUACAAAUACAUUGGUAAAGAAAU